rnacentral:misc_RNA from 3 species
CAACCCUCAAGCUCUGCUUGGUAUUGGGCUUCUGUCAGUAAAAUGACAGGCCUCAAAAUCAGUGGCGGCGCCGUUGGGUCCUGAACGUAGUAAUAUAUUUCGUUACAGGUUCUCAAUGUGCUUCUGCCAUUAAACCCCAAAUUUUCUAU